rnacentral:rRNA from 1 species
AACGAACGCUGGCGGCAUGCCUAACACAUGCAAGUCGAACGAGACCUUCGGGUCUAGUGGCGCACGGGUGCGUAACGCGUGGGAACCUGCCCUUAGGUUCGGAAUAACUCCCCGAAAGGGGUGCUAAUACCGGAUAAUGUCUUCGGACCAAAGAUUUAUCGCCUUUGGAUGGGCCCGCGUUGGAUUAGCUAGUUGGUAGGGUAAAAGCCUACCAAGGCGACGAUCCAUAGCUGGUCUGAGAGGAUGAUCAGCCACACUGGGACUGAGACACGGCCCAGACUCCUACGGGGGGAAGCAGUGGGGAAUUUUGGACAAUGGGCGAAAGCCUGACCCAGCAAGGCCGGGGGAGUGAGGAAGGCCUUAGGUUUGUAAAGCUCUUUUACCCGGGAUGAUAAUGACAGUACCGGGAGAAUAAACCCCGGCUAACUCCGU